GUCUGGGAUACCACUUGAAAACAGGUGCUAAUACCGGAUAACAACAAUAGCUGCAUGGCUAUUGCUUAAAAGGCGGCGAAAGCUGUCGCUAAAGGAUGGACCCGCGGUGCAUUAGCUAGUUGGUAAGGUAAUGGCUUACCAAGGCGACGAUGCAUAGCCGAGUUGAGAGACUGAUCGGCCACAUUGGGACUGAGACACGGCCCAAACUCCUACGGGAGGCAGCAGUAGGGAAUCUUCCACAAUGGGCGAAAGCCUGAUGGAGCAACGCCGCGUGAGUGAAGAAGGUUUUCGGAUCGUAAAGCUCUGUUGUUGGUGAAGAAGGAUAGAGGUAGUAACUGGCCCCUAUUUGACGGUAAUCAACCAGAAAGUCACGGCUAACUACGUGCCAGCAGCCGCGGUAAUACGUAGGUGGCAAGCGUUGUCCGGAUUUAUUGGGCGUAAAGCGAGCGCAGGCGGAAAGAUAAGUCUGAUGUGAAAGCCCCCGGCUUAACCGAGGAAUUGCAUCGGAAACUGUGUUUCUUGAGUGCAGAAGAGGAGAGUGGAACUCCAUGUGUAGCGGUGGAAUGCGUAGAUAUAUGGAAGAACACCAGUGGCGAAGGCGGCUCUCUGGUCUGUAACUGACGCUGAGGCUCGAAAGCAUGGGUAGCGAACAGGAUUAGAUACCCUGGUAGUCCAUGCCGUAAACGAUGAGUGCUAAGUGUUGGGAGGUUUCCGCCUCUCAGUGCUGCAG
rnacentral:rRNA from 1 species